rnacentral:misc_RNA from 1 species
AAGGUCAACAACGUGCUCGGUCAGAUCCUGAUCGCACGGCGCAUGGGGAAAAAGCGAAUUAUUGCUGAAACCGGUGCUGGUAUGCAUGGCGUGGCAACUGCCACGUUAUGCGCUCGUUUCGGGCUCCAAUNNNNNNNNNGACAUGGGAUCUCUGGACGUUGAGAGACAGCAGACCAACGUCCUACGAAUGAAAAUUCUCGGCGCAGACGUCAGACCAGUUGAGACGGGCUCGAGAAAGACGCGAUGAAUGAAGCAUUGCGUGAUUGGGUC